rnacentral:tRNA from 1 species
AUUAGUUAUUUUCUUACUUUCUUUAGUUAUUGCUUUCGUUUAUGAAAUUAAUUUAGGUGCUUUAAAUUUAG